CACUCACACUUUUUGCCUUGUUCAUGAUCAUUGACGGGGUUCUUGGGUAGUGGUGUGCUUCGGCACAUCUUACCUUACAUUUUAACACAAUCACCAACACAUACACAUUAUCAUAAAUAACAUAUAGAUUAGUGCAGUGCAGUGAAGUGAGUGAGUUGUGUUCAAAUAUAAUAUACAAAACCCCAGAAGAAGGAUAAUAGAUAUUGAAACUAGGAAUUUCAUCAUCAACUGAAAAUGGAAAUGAAUAAAUCUCAGAAAGAGAAAUGGAAUGAGAAUAGAAAUUAUGAAAUGCUGUGUAUUGUAGUGCGCGAGUGUUGUUUCAUAGUGCGGGAGUGAAAUUCAAAUAGCUUUAGUUAACAAUUAUAUACAUUCUCACACACACACACAUACACAUUUACACUUUUUACCCUGUUCAUGAUCAUUGUCAGGGUUCUUGGGUAUUGGUGUGCUUCGGCAUAUCUUACCUUACAUUUUAACACAAUCACCAACAAAUAAUACACAUUAUCAUAAAUAUCAUAUAUAUUAGUGCAGUGCAGUGCAGUGAAGUGAGUGAGUAGUGUUCAAAUAUAAGUGCGCGUAUCAUUAUUUUUCAGUGUCACUGUUUAACAACUGUUCAGGACGCAGAAAGCAAAAGACAAACCCCCAGAAGGAGGAUAAUAUAUAUUGGCACUAGGAAUUUCAUCAUCAACUGAAAAUGGAAAUGAAUAAAUCUCAGAAUGAGAAAUGAAAUGAGAUUGGAAAUGAAUGUGCAGUGCAGUGAAGGGUUGUGUAUUAUAGUGCGCGAGUGUUGAAUUGUAUGGUGCGUUUAGUUAAGCAAGUGGGUUAGUGCGGGAGUGCGCAAGUGUUGCAAUAUAGUGCGGGAGUGCUGAGACAUUUAAUAAUUUCUUUACAGAUGCAUCAACAGUUUAUACGCAUUUUUUAACUGCACGAAAAUUAAUAGUCAUUGAAUUAAUUGUCAUGUUGCACGUUGUUGUUUUGCUUUUGAAUGCGAAACAAGAAGAUUCUUCCAUCCUGAGGGCCAAGAUGAGAUAACGCAUUCUAUUUAAAUAAGGAACAUUUCAUAAGAAGUUGAAAAGCCGAAGAAGAUGAUGUUAUCCGUCCCCGGCGAGGUCGAUCCUGAAGGUUCCAAAUCAGCCAGCUUUCCAGCUGCCCCUAAGGGUCAGAGCCUGAUGUGUAUACCCAUCAAGGAAUGGGUUCCUACCCUCGCAAAGCCGGAAAGAAACUGAGCUGGAGAUGAGGCCGAUGCGGAGCAGUUCCAUCCACGCCGCGGUCGAUCCUGACGUAUCCAGCUUCUCAGCGAGAACAAGCCUUUGGGGGUCAGGGCUCGAUGUGUAUACCCAUCAAGGAAUGAGCUGCUGCCUCCAGAUGAAUGAACAGCCGCCAAGAUGCUGAGGAGCUGGAUGAUGACAUCAUUUCCUUAGAAAUUGAAGAUGAGGUUUCAAGUAUAGAGAGCAAGGGGCAUAAACAUGCACACAAUUAAUGAAUUUUUAAUCGCUUUAAUAUUUUUGUUUGUUUUCUUAGUUUUUUUCAAAAGAACUUCAAUGCUAGAAGACGAUCUUAAAUCGUAUGAAAUAAAUAUGGGAAUGGGAAAAUUGAAGAAAAAAAGUUAUUUAAAUGGAAAAGCAACCAUGGACCAGCCAGUAUUAUUGGAAAACGAAUAAAAUGGUAAACGGAAUCUACUUUAAUUUCAACUGAACUUCGUAGAAUCAAUCAGGCAACUAUCAGUUAACAGUCAUAUACAGAAUCAAGAAUUCCAACGAAACUACGUUAAAACAUCAAGUUAGAAUCAACAGCAAAUUGAGAAGAGCAAGAAAUCAAUUUGGAUAUUGGAAUGAACAUAAAUAACAACAACAACUGUGAUAAAUAAUAGUGUUUGUGUGUUUUUUAUAGUGCACGAGUGCUGAAUUAUAGUGCGCGAGUGUUGUUUCAUAGUGCGGGAGUGAAAACAAUUACAUACACUUACACACACACAUUUACACUUUUUGCCCUGUUCAUGAUCAUUGUCAGGGUUCUUGGGUAUUGGUGUGCUUCGGCAUAUCUUACCUUACAUUUUAACACAAUCACCAACAAAUAAUACACAUUAUCAUAAAUAACAUAUAUAUUAGAUAUAUUAGUGCAGUGCAGUGCAGUGAAGUGAGUGCAGUAGUGUUCAAAUAUAAGUGCGCAUCAUUAUUUUUCAGUGUCACUGUUUAACAACUGUUCAGGACGUAGAAAACAGAAGACAAACCCCCAGAAGAAGGAUAACAGAUAUUGGAACUAGGAAUUUCAUCAUCAACUGAAAAUGUAAAUGAAUAAAUCUCAGAUUGAGAAAUGAAAUGAGAUUGGAAAUUUUGAAAUGCUGAUGACAACAGAAUGUGCAGUGCAGUGAAGUAUUGUGUAUUAUAGUGCGCAAGUGUUGAAUUAUAUUGUGCGUUUAGUUAAGCAAGGGUUAGUGCGGGAGUGCGCGAGUGUUUUAAUACAGUGCGGGAGUUCUGAGAUAUUUAAUAAUUUCUUUACAGAUGCAUCAACAGUUUAUACACAUUUUUUAACUGCACGAAAAUUAAUAGUCACUGAAUUGAUUGUCAUGUUGCACGUUGUUAUGUUUUGUUUUUGAAUGCGAAACAAGAAGAUUCUUCCAUUCAUCAUAAGAAGUUGAAAAGCCGAAGAAGAUGAUGUUAUCCGUCUCCGUCGAGCACGAUCCUGAAGGUCCCAAAUCAGUCUGCUUUCCAGCUACCCCUAAGGGUCAGGGCCUGAUGUGUAUACCCAUCAAGGAAUGGGUUCCUACCCUCAGAAAGCCGGAAAGAAACUGAGCUGGAGAGCAGGUGCGGAACAGUUCCAUCCACGCCGCGGUUGAUCCUGACGUAUCCAGCUUCUCAGCGAGACCAAGCCUUUGGGGGUCAG